rnacentral:rRNA from 1 species
ACCGGCAGCUCAAGUGGUGGCCAUUUUUAUUGGGCCUAAAGCGUUCGUAGCCGGUUUGAUAAGUCUCUGGUGAAAUCCCGCAGCUUAACUGUGGGACUUGCUGGAGAUACUAUUAGACUUGAGGUCGGGAGAGGUUAGGGGUACUCCCAGGGUAGGGCGAAAAUCAUAUAAUCCUGGGAGGAGCACCUGAGGCGAAGGCCCCUAACGGUAACGAACCUGCCGGUGAGUAACGAAAGCCAGUGGCGCGAAUCG